GGACAACAGCGGUGGAAACAAAGAAGAUAUAUGGGUCUCAGAAGCUUCUUGAUCACCAAGUGAAUACUGCUUCAAUGAUUUCUUCUCUUGAGGCAGAACUAGAAUGUGCUCGUGCCCGAGUUCAUCAACUUGAGACGGAGCGGCAUUCAUCGAAAAAGAAACUCAAGCAGUUCUUGAGGAAACUCAGUGAAGAAAAAGCAGCAUGGCGGAGCAAAGAGCAUGAGAAAAUCCGGGCAAUUAUGGAUGAAAUGAGAGCUGACUUCUCCCGGGAAAGGAAAAACCGAAAGAGGCUGGAAAUUGUCAAUUCCCAAUUAGUUAAUGAAUUGGCUGAUGCCAAGUUAUUAGCAAAACGUUAUUUGCAAAAUUUCGAAAAGGAAAAACAGGCUAGAGGGUUGAUAGAAGAAGUGUGCGAUGAAUUGGCCAAAGAACUUGGAGAAGACAAGGCUGAAGUUGAGGAAAUGAAGAGAGAAUCUCUGAAGUUCACAGAGGAAGUAGAUGAAGAAAGAAAGAUGUUGCAGAUGGCUGAGGUUUGGCGUGAGGAACGGGUCCAGAUGAAACUAGUUGAUGCCAAGGUGAUGCUUGAAGAGAAGUAUUCCCAAAUGAACAAACUCAUUGGAGAACUAGAAUCAUUUUUGGAUUCCAGAGGUUUGAGUUUUGAUGUGGAGAAGAUGAAAAGAGCUGAGCAACUCCAACAGGCCGCUGCCUCUGUUAGCAUUCGUGAUAUUAGAGAACUCACUUAUGAACCACCAAAUCAAGAUGAUAUUCUUUCCGUUUUUGAGGACGUUCAUUUUGUUGAACCUGAUGAAAAGGAUAUCCAGCCAUGUACAUUUAGUCCUCGCUCUCUCAGUCCUGAUGGUGUUGUUUACGACUUUCGCAGAAUUUCACAUGCAUAUGUCAAUCAGAGUGAUAAUUUAGAGGAAGAGGGAAGUGAGUGGGAAACGGUGACCAAUCUUGAGGAGCAAGGGUCCAACUAUUCUCUUGAAGGAAGCAUUUCAUCCGUGAACAAGAAUUGCCGGCACAGCAAUGUAUCAAGAAGUAGAGCAGACUCAGAGGGAAUUGGUGAUGAUGGCGCAUCGGUUUCAGAGAUUAGUGAAGUUUGUUCUGGACCAGCUCGGCAACUUACAGAGUUGUCAUCUGCAUCUAAACUUUGGAAGUCACGCCCGAGUAAUGGAGACAAUUUCAAAAUAAAAUCACUAGAAGGAUCUAAAGGGAGGCUGUCAAAUGGGACCAUUCUUUCUCGGGAUCAUGGUUCUAGUAAAGGUGGCUUUAGCCCCUCGGAACUUGGCCAGGAGUGGAGCUCACCUGAGUCUGGCAACUCACAAAUAGCACGCGGGAUGAAAGGUUGCAUUGAAUGGCCG
rnacentral:misc_RNA from 1 species